AUGCGCUGCCUUGGAACCAAUGGAAGUUUGGUUAUGUACCAUGAGCGAGGAGUGUGGGUUUGUUUGUGCUGGGAAUUGGGUAGAAAUCUGUUUCUGUGCUUCUUUUAUCCACAUUACUUUAUUUCUUGUCUUGCUGCCAUGAAAGAUAUUCUAUGCUGUAUGAGCAGCAGUACUUAAACGUGCCAGAGCAAAUUAGAAGGGAAUUGUGGCUGUAUGUAGAGCACAAAUGGGACAGUGGGUGCAAACACUUCUGUGGGCAGCCGGCAGGUUCUUCUGUCUUUUAGGUAAUGUGUGUAAGAGUGCGGGGCUGCAGAGGAGCCGUGCUGUCACUGCUGGGAAGAAGCUGCCUCCAGCAGCACCCUAUAAAGCUGACCCAUCUCAGCAUCCAUUGGAGCCAGGCACACCAGCUGAGUGCUGAGCUGAUGCCUUUCAGGACCCGCAUCAGUGCUGUGAUUAAACCCAGCAGGGAAACCCCACCUGCAGCCACACCCAGCGCUGCCCAUGGGCACUGCUGGAGCUUGGUGACCUCACAGUGACAGGGACCUUCUGUGCAGGGCGGCACCCAGCACGGCUCUCCCACCCCACGCCACCCCCAGCCCCCGCCAGCCCCCUGCCAUGGGGCUGCCCCACACCUGAGGGCACACCAACCCUGCAGCUUCCCCACGUCGUGACCUUCAGCAAGGAACCGGGGAGCAAGAGGGGAUAUCGGAUAAGGAGAAAGAAGGCUCAGGCAGCCAGGUGGAAGACAAGGCUGGACACACCAGCAGUCAUACCAAGCAGAUGGAGGAGGCCCCGGGGUCGGAGCAGAGCCCCAGCACUCUGGGGACCUCCAGGGAGAGCAGCUGGACGUCUCUGGAGCCCAGUGACUUGGAGGAUGAAACUUUCCUGACCGUGCGGGAGCCAUCGCUGCUCAGCAUUGACUCUGUGGAGCUGCAACAGCGAGCGCAGGCCACGGCCUACCAGGCUGAGGAAGGAGCGAGCUGGGUGAGCCAGCAGGCGAGGAGAAAUGUGACCAACAGGAGCCAGCAGACCGGUGAGCCGGAUGAAGACCUGACAUCUCCUGAAUUGGAAGCUCACGACAGCGCCGGUGCCUCCCUGGAGUUGAUGAUACAGCAGAGAGCUGAGGUCCCCCAGGGCAAAAUGGUCAUGGAGUUCAGGAUGGAUUCUGGCAAUCUUCAGGGGUUAGAAUUAGUGCUGGGGAGAAACGAUCAGAGGCACACGUUUUGUAUAGGCUUCACUGAAAUGAUGAGGAGCCACCAUGAGCAAACAAGUGAUACUAUGAAGACGGAUCAGGAGACAGCAGGAAAAACAGUGUUCCAAUGCUCCAUAGCUGCAGCGCCGGAUGGUGGGGAGAUGCACAACCAAAUGACUCUCAAAGGAGGGCUGGGGGCAGGAAUAGGGAGAAUGGUGAUCAUCUCUGAUGAACAAAUGGGCAACACUGUAAUUCAAACAAUUCAUGGAGCACCUCAGAUGUCACUUGGAAGUCAGCAGCCCCAGUAA
rnacentral:lncRNA from 1 species